rnacentral:rRNA from 1 species
AACGAACGCUGGCGGCAUGCCUAACACAUGCAAGUCGAACGAGACCUUCGGGUCUAGUGGCGCACGGGUGCGUAACGCGUGGGAACCUGCCCUUAGGUUCGGAAUAACUCCCCGAAAGGGGUGCUAAUACCGGAUAAUGUCUUCGGACCAAAGAUUUAUCGCCUUUGGAUGGGCCCGCGUUGGAUUAGCUAGUUGGUAGUGUAAAAGCCUACCAAGGCGACGAUCCAUAGCUGGUCUGAGAGGAUGAUCAGCCACGCUGGGACUGAGACACGGCCCAGACUCCUACGGGAGGCAGCAGUGGGGAAUAUUGGACAAGGGGCGAAAGCCUGAUCCAGCCAUGCCGCGUAAGUGAUGAAGGCCUUAGGGUUGUAAAGCUCUUUUACCCGGGAUGAUAAUGACAGUACCGGGAGAAUAAGCUCCGGCUAACUCCGUG